CAAAAGAAUAUUUAGGAGAUUGCCUAUGUGUCUGUCUGUACAUGUAUCAAAACCCUGCCCCGCUGCUCUGAGAGGACAGAGGAAGACCAAGGCAGGACCACUGACCUAUCUUCAGAUCAAAGAACAAGUGGUGUGAUUCCCAUGUCUGUGGAAACCCCGGGAUGAUGGAGUGUGUGUUAGAUCUGGAAACUAAGGACUUUUUUCAAGAGUGGGAUGGUGGAGAAAGAAUUUUGGAGUCUGGAGAAGAGGAUAAAGGAAAGAACAGAACAUAUACAUAAGCAUUGGAAAGAUGCUACUACAUGUACACAUGUGAAAUUACUUGUAAGACAAAUGUAUUCUCUGAAUGUUACAUACUCAAUCAACAGAGCUAACACCUCAAAACAGAGAGGAAGAAAAGAGAAUGGAUUGGAACUCCUCUCACCCCAGGAAGCAACCAGCCUAUUUGGAGAAACACAGGCUGAGAUGUUAGCAACUGAAGUAAAAAAGCAACGUAAUGUUUGUAUUGCUUGAUCAACUUUGCAGGCCUAAAGCUGGUGUCUGAGCGUUUAUUUAGAGAAUAACAAUAUGCAAUAUAACAACUAUGGGCACUACCUUCUGCCUUGUUUUUGAAAUCCAAUAUUGUUCUGUUUCAUUAUGUUGUUUUAUUGUUUUGCUUUAUUGCAUUUAAAAUGAAAAGAAAAUUUAAAAUAGAAUAGAUUGGAACUGCAUGGAGAGACUCCAUAAUGUUCAUGAAUGUUCUUUGAAGACCACCACUUCUGAAUUCUAAAUAAACACACCUAUUUAUAGCUAAGCCUAAUUGUCUACAAUUUGAUUGACCUACAUUCUUUACAUUUAAUAGUAUUCAUUCCUGAGUUUCUUAUUGACUUGGAA